UACGUAGGGUCCGAGCGUUGUCCGGAAUUACUGGGCGUAAAGAGCUCGUAGGCGGUUUGUUGCGUCGGCUGUGAAAUCCCGAGGCUCAACCUCGGGUCUGCAGUCGAUACGAGCAAACUAGAGUGUUGCAGGGGAGACUGGAAUUCCUGGUAUAGCGGUGAAAUGCGCAGAUAUCAGGAGGAACACCGGCGGCGAAGGCGGGUCUCUGGGCCGUAACUGACACUGAGGAGCGAAAGCGUGGGGAGCGAACAGG
rnacentral:rRNA from 1 species